rnacentral:rRNA from 1 species
GGGUGAGGAUAAGCCAUGCGAGUUGAAUGGGAUACCUAAAAAUCCCAUGGCAAACUGCUCAGUAACACAUGAUCAACUUACCCUAUAGAGGAAAAUAACCUCGGGAAACUGAGGAUAAUGUUCCAUAAUUGAAUCGGCUUGGAAAAGUUUUUCAAUAAAAGGGAUAAGGAAAAUGGUUCUUAUCUGCUAUAGGAUAGGAUCGUGCUCGAUUAUGGUUGUUGGUGAGGUAAAGGCUCACCAAGCCGAUAAUCGAUAGGGGCCGUGAGAGCGGGAGCCCCGAGAUGGGUACUAAGACAACGACCCAGGCCUUACGAGGCGCAGCAGGCGCGAAACCUCCGCAAUACACGAAAGUGUGACGGGGUUACCCAAAGUGUUCUAUUUAGAACUGUGGUAGGUGAGUAAUGUCCCCUACUAGAAAGGAGAGGGCAAGGCUGGUGCCAGCCGCCGCGGUAAAACCAGCUCUUCAAGUGGUCGGGAUAAUUAUUGGGCUUAAAGUGUCCGUAGCCGGUUUAGUAAGUUCCUGGUAAAAUCGGGUAGCUUAACUAUCUAUAUGCUAGGAAUACUACUAUACUAGAGGGCGGGAGAGGUCUGAGGUACUACAGGGGUAGGGGUGAAAUCUUAUAAUCCUUGUAGGACCACCAGUGGCGAAGGCGUCAGACUGGAACGCGCCUGACGGUGAGGGACGAAAGCCAGGGGAGCGAACCGGAUUAGAUACCCGGGUAGUCCUGGCCGUAAACGAUGCAUACUAGGUGAUGGCAUGGCCAUGAGCCAUGUCAGUGCCGUAGGGAAACCGUUAAGUGUGCCGCCUGGGAAGUACGGUCGCAAGGCUAAAACUUAA